GAUGUUAUUUACUUUUAGAACUAUAUUAAUGGGUUAGAUCCUGGUAUAUGACGACUUUCAAUUUUAAUUCUUCAUUGAACCGAAUUAGAUUGUUGCUACAAAUUGUACAAAUAUAAAAUUUAAAAAAAUAAAAAACUCUACUUUUCAACUUUGUUUACGAAUUUCUAUUAUCAAACAACUAACCCAAAAGCCACUCUCAUCUUUGCCGUUCUUCCUCCAAAGGCGUUAAUACCAAGGAAGCACAGCAGAUCAUGUUAACAGUAACAACGAGAAUCUACAGUCCAAUGGAACUUUUGACUCAAAAAAGUGAUCAAAUCAAAACGUCAUCCCUUUAUACAAUUUCUAUGUAAUUUCCACCCUAAACUUCUUGUAGAAUCCUUAAGAAAAGCUUCUCUCCAGUAAUUCUACAACAUUCCAUCCCUCCACAUAAAAAAGAAACUGAAAAUUAAAACUGCAAACUGAAUCACUUCAACAUAGAACCAUUUGAGCUAUUAAAAGAUUUUCUACUUCUAUUGUCCCCUAUGGAAUCAAGUUCACAGCAAAUUUCCAUAGAUAUGAAUCACCUCUAUUCUCUCAUCACAUCAAUUAACGAAAGAAAUCCUGAAAUCAACGGCUUACCAAUUUGCAUCAUAAUGCAGACUGCAUCACCAGCCAACAGCUCUAAGACUGAGAAUAAUGUUGGGACGACAAUUCUUGGCCUUACUUUUCAGGCAGUUUUGGCUUUGUUCAUUACCUCGUCCACUUCAUCUCCUCCGCUUUUGACACAUCUCUUUGGGGCUGCAGUCUUGAUUAGCUUUGCAGUUUCAUUUCCUGGAGUUUUCCUCCAAGAUGGAUUCCCGAGAAUCGCACUUCUGUUCGAAAAGAUCGGUGCUCUUAUUGCUGCAAUUGGUGUGUGCAUCCUAGCAAGUCUUCUAAUCCAUCAGAACUUUGCUUGGAUCUCUUGGCUGGCUUGUGGCUUCUCCUUGAUGGCUUUUUUGCUAUCAUUUAGAGGGUAGUUUCAUCAGAUUAUUGGUUCUUUAGCUUGUUCAGUAAGAUGUUAAUAUCAUCUAAGAAACAAAGAUGGCAGCAUCAAGAAAGAUGGGUCGUCUCUAUGGUUCAUACAAAUAUGGAGGAACCACAUAUUGGCUGAAGCUUAGUCAUCCUAAAAAAAAUACACAGAUUUGGUAAUUGGAAGUGGAAUUGGAAUGCCAAUGCCGCAAUGUUGUUAUAUUGUUAGCAAAUAUAUAUAAGUAUGUUCUUCAUCUAUGUUAAAUGGGGAUAUAAAAUGGAAAAAAUAUGAGAUCAAUCUUUACAAGAACAUUAGCAGGAAAGGAAUUCUCCAGAGCUUAAAAGAAAAGUGUCCAACCUAAACCAUAUUAGAAAGUUAAAACAGAAUUUCACUUUUUCGUCUCUAUUUCUAACUCUUAACCAUUUGAAUGCAAAUAAAUGAGACGAAUAACAAGAAAAGGAGAGAUGUAUAUUGCAAAAUGAUCAAAAGGCCCGUGGGGGAAAAUUUCCCAUCACUGCUGGAGAAAUUAAAAGAAAACAAUCAAACUAGAAACAUAAGCAUUAACUUAAAAAAAACUUCGAACCCGUGAAAAAAUUGUUACCGUCACAUAGAAAUCUCUUCUUGAUCAAUUAAAAUAGCACUCUCUCGAAGCAUUACAUCACUUGCAUAAUUGAGCGUAUAUUACACUUAAAUGCUUCGAAUUGGGAUGAUUAGAAACCAAAGGUAUAGACUCCUUAGACUAAUAGAUGCAAGACAAUUGUACUUUUAAUAUUUUACCAAAACUCAACAAGUUUCCUACGGAACAUGAAUUUUAGAGCUCCAGUAUUUAUUAUUUCCCCAAAGUUAUUAGGAAAUAUUCAAACUGAUAGAGAUAAACAUUGUUCAGAAGAAGGAAAUAGAUUUAGAAAAAAAGAAAAACAAUAAUGGUAACCUUACCUUCAAAUAGAAAUCCCAAUCAUAUAUAUCCUAUGAUGCAAAACAGAUGCAAAACAGCAGAGCAAUUAGAGAACUUUGAAGACUAGAAUGAUGUAGAAUCCAAAUAACAAAUGUUGAGUUUACACUUAUGUAGAGGCUGCCUAAAUAAGCAUGUGAAUAAUAAAUAGGAAAAAGAAGCAUUAUUCAUCCAUGUAAACAUCCACACUCAUUUUAGAAACAGAAAAAAAUCAAAUUUUAAUUACAGGACUAAACGAAAGUCCUAGGAUUGGCACACAAUCUAAAAAGCAAAAUCUAAACUAAUGAUGAUAUUAAGUGAGCUUGAUGAAAGGGAAACAACAAUCAGAGAACUUUAAAGGCUUGCACGAAAUGGGUAAGCACAUCAUAGCUUCACCUCAAAAGGCCUCAUCAUCUCGAAUGGCUAUUUUACAUACUUUACCAAAUAGAAAAGAGUGAGAUCAACUAAGUAAAAUGUUUUCUAAAGAUAGGUUACAAGAGGUCUUUAAAAUCGAAGACAUCGAGGAGACAAAACUUAACCAAAGACCAAACGGCAAACAUCAUCAAUAAGGGCCCUCCCCAACCCACUAAACACCCUGUUAUUUCUGUCUCCCUCAACCCAUGACAAAGUUGCAACUUAAUAGUAGUCUGAAACUGGUUGGAAACCAUUGACAGGCCACUUGAGUGUGUGGCAGCAAUACCACUCUUCUAUCUUAAUGAACAGAUCCAUAGCUUUAUGAAACCAAUAUUAAAAAAAACAAGAAAACAUAAACAAUAAAGAAAUCGACACAAGGAUUUACACAGUACAUUAACAGUGGGUAUUCAAGUGCAGAAGGAGAGAGUAGUAUAUUAAUAGAGAUUCAAGGCCUUCCAACAAAUAGUAUGGAUAUCAAAUUGUAGGAUCCCACAGACCAGAGUGUAACAUAACAACAUCAAAUGGGUUAUAACUUAUAAGCACAAGAAACUAAGAAAGAAAAUGGCAGGGUGCCCUAAGUCAACCUAAAAUUUGACAUCACAAACUAAAAAGUUAGAACAUAAACCAUAAGAAACUCCACAAAUAUGUUAUUAUCACGAGUAAGUCUUGACACAAUUUUGCGAUAAUAGGCAUUAAAAAGUACUUUUUCCAGCACAAGCAAGCCAUUGUUUGUCGGAAGAAUAGAUGAUCCAAUAUGGGAUAUCAAUGACUAGUAACUAAUUCGAACAACUUCUACUUCACCUGCAUAGAAAAGGAUCUAUGACCUAAAUAGUCUUCAUGGGCUCUGAAAUCCAAUGAUUUAGGUACCAAGCGAGCAGUAAAUCAAGGGCAAUCCAUGAUAUAUACUCAUGGGUUUAACUUUUAAGAACUUGGACAGCACGUUCAGGUUACUUGGGUCACAUACAUGGUUACAAAAAUUGAGAUUGUUGGUAUACAAGAUCUUGUGCUGGUGGCUGUUGAUGACAUAUUGCCAUGUCGGCUAUUGUUCUUGUUUGUCUAAGUUGUAUGGCGUCCAACGAUUUAUCUAACGUCAAUAGAUAAAGUUUUUCCUUGUAGGAGAUGAGUUUUCUAGAUUCUAG
rnacentral:lncRNA from 1 species